GAACAACUCUCAGCAACGGAUAUCUCGGCUCUUGCAUCGAUGAAGAACGCAGCGAAAUGCGAUAAGUGGUGUGAAUUGCAGGAUCCCGUGAACCAUCGAGUCUUUGAACGCAAGUUGCGCCCAAGGCCAUCAGGCCAAGGGCACGCCUGCCUGGGCAUUGCGA
rnacentral:rRNA from 4 species